AUGACUCUCAUCAGUUGGAACUGCCGGGGGAUUGGGCAACCCGGGACAGUUCGCGAGCUUGUGGAGCUUGUUCGCAUCCACAAGCCUAAAAUAGUGUUCCUAUCCGAGACGCGAAAGAACGAUGGGUUCGUGAAUAAUCUGAGAUGGCAGCUAGGUCUCCGUCAUUGUAUCGUGCAAGCUGGCUCCGGAAAGGGAGCCGGCAUGGCUCUGUUCUAUGAUGAA
rnacentral:rRNA from 1 species